rnacentral:rRNA from 1 species
UGGGGAAUAUUGCACAAUGGGCGCAAGCCUGAUGCAGCCAUGCCGCGUGUAUGAAGAAGGCCUUAGGGUUGUAAAGUACUUUCAGUCGGGAGGAAGGUGGUAAGGUUAAUAACCUUAUCAAUUGACGUUACCGACAGAAGAAGCACCGGCUAACUCCGUGCCAGCAGCCGCGGUAAUACGGAGGGUGCAAGCGUUAAUCGGAAUUACUGGGCGUAAAGCGCACGCAGGCGGUUGAUUGAGUCAGAUGUGAAAUCCCCGGGCUUAACCCGGGAAUUGCAUCUGAUACUGGUCAGCUAGAGUCUUGUAGAGGGGGGUAGAAUUCCAUGUGUAGCGGUGAAAUGCGUAGAGAUGUGGAGGAAUACCGGUGGCGAAGGCGGCCCCCUGGACAAAGACUGACGCUCAGGUGCGAAAGCGUGGGGAGCAAACAGG